rnacentral:rRNA from 1 species
ACUACGGGAGGCAGCAGUGGGGAAUAUUGGGCAAUGGGCGCAAGCCUGACCCAGCAACGCCGCGUGAAGGAAGAAGGCUUUCGGGUUGUAAACUUCUUUUCUCAGGGACGAAGCAAGUGACGGUACCUGAGGAAUAAGCCACGGCUAACUACGUGCCAGCAGCCGCGGUAAUACGUAGGUGGCAAGCGUUAUCCGGAUUUACUGGGUGUAAAGGGCGUGUAGGCGGGACUGCAAGUCAGAUGUGAAAACCAUGGGCUCAACCUAUGGCCUGCAUUUGAAACUGUAGUUCUUGAGUACUGGAGAGGCAGACGGAAUUCCUAGUGUAGCGGUGAAAUGCGUAGAUAUUAGGAGGAACACCAGUGGCGAAGGCGGUCUGCUGGACAGCAACUGACGCUGAGGCGCGAAAGCGUGGGUAGCAAACAGGAUUAGAUACCCGGGUAGUC